rnacentral:tRNA from 1 species
GGCUCUAUGGUCAAAUGGUAAGACAUUACUCCUUCACAGUAAAGUUACCGGUUCAAUUCCGGUUGGAGUCA